rnacentral:rRNA from 1 species
ACCCGCUGAACUUAAGCAUAUCAAUAAGCGGAGGAAAAGAAACCAACAGGGAUUGCCUCAGUAACGGCGAGUGAAGCGGCAAGAGCUCAAAUUUAAAAGCCGACGUAGCUUUAAGAGACGUCCGCAUUGUAAUUUGAAGAGGCAUUCUCGGGUCGGGGCUCAGGCCUAAGUUCCUUGGAAGAGGGCGUCGUGGAGGGUGAGAACCCCGUUCGCGGCCUGCUGUCGACCUUUCCCCGAUCCACACGAGGUGCCAUCGAAGAGUCGAGUUGUUUUGGGAAUGCAGCUCAAAGCGGGUGGUAAAUUCCCAUCUAAAGCUAAUAUUGACGGGAGACCGAUAGCGACAAAGUAGAGUGAUCGAAAGAUGAAAAGCACUUGGAAAGAGAGUUAAACAGCACGUGAAAUUGUUGAAAGGGAAGCGCUUGAGACCAGUCACGGACCGAGGCGAUCAGUGGGACGUCCCUCUCGGGGGAGGAACCGCGCACUCGCUUUUCGGGUUUUCCGGGUCAACAUCGGUUGGGACGGUGUCAGAAAGGUCGCGGGAACGUGGCUCCCUUCACGGGGAGUGUUAUAGCCCGUGGCGUCAAAGUCGCCAGUUUCGACCGAGGACCGCGCUCGUCUUUUUCGAGCAAGGAUGUUGACGUAAUGGUCCC